GCUUUGCCGUCGCCGAUCGUCCGCCCGAGAGCCGCCGUCCGCCGUAGCGCUCCCGUCCGAACCGGGUCAAGCAUUUGGUGUUACACGUGUAAAUUUAUUGGAUGGCUGAAUCGGAGCUUGAAACUUCCCAUCUUGUACAUGUAAUGCGUGAUAUGGAAAAAGACUUUGAGUUUGCAAUUGGAAUGGUUUUUUCGAAUGAACUUGAAGCAUAUAAUAAGUAUGUCGCUUAUGCAAUUAUUAAAGGAUUUGGAGUGAGGAAGGGUAGUUUGGUUAGAAAUACUAAAGGAAAAGUAACUCGACAAACUUUCGUGUGCAAUUGUGAGGGGUAUUCAAUCAACUCAUCUGAUGAAGAAAAGGAAAAGAAAUUUGAGAGGUUUGACAUUAGAUGUGGCUGUCUUGCUCAUAUCAAGUUUAAAGUGGAUAAUAAUGACGUCUUUGAAGUGAUAGAGUAUAAUUCUGAGCAUAAUCAUGCAUUUGUUCCUGAAAAUCAAAGGCAUAUGAUUAGAUGUGGAAGAAUCAUGUCUGAGACUUGCAAGGGUGUUUUAGUUGACAUGAUGAAAGCUGGCAUUGGUGGAACAACGUCAUAUAAGUUUUUAGCAAAUGAAGCAGGAGGAAGCAAAAACUUGGGUUUUAACCUGCGUGAUUGUCAGAAUUUCUUGCAGACAACAAGAUCCAGUAUUAUAACUGGGGGAGAUUGUCAAAAACUUUUGAAUCAUUUUCAUAGCAUGGAACAACAAAACCCAAUGUUUUCCUAUGCUGUACAAGUAGAUCAAGAUGGUAGAUUAACAAAUAUAUUUUGGAGAGAUAGCUUAUCCAAAUUUGAUUAUGACUGUUUCGGUGAUGUGCUAGUAUUUGAUACCACUUAUCGCACCAACAGAUAUAAUAUGGUAUGUGCACCUUUUGUUGGGGUUAAUCACCAUUGGAAAAAUGUCUUGUUCGGCUGUGCAUUUUUAGCAGACGAGACUGCUGAGUCAUUUAUUUGGUUAUUUGAUGCGUUUUUGAAGUCUAUGGGAAAUAAAGCUCCGAAAACCAUGUUUACUGAUCAAGACCAAGCCAUGGCAAAAGCAAUUAUAAUGGUAUUUCCGAAUACACAACAUCGUUUAUGCACUUGGCACAUCAUGAAAAAUGCCAAUGAAAACAUCCCACAUCUUUACCGCGACUCAGGUUUUAGGGAUAAAUAUUUCUUAGCACUUAUGUAUAGAUGCAAAUCAGAGGAUGAAUUUGAAAGUACUUGGAAGGAAAUGGAAGAGAAGUGGAAUACUGAGGAUAACAGUUGGCUUCGGAGAUUAUAUGGUCUUAGACAUAAAUGGAGUUUAGCUUUUGGUCGUGAUAUUUUUACAUGUGGUAUAAGAUCAAGUCAAAGAAGUGAAAGCACCAAUAAUGUCUUCCAAAAACUAGCGAGGAAGACAUCGACACUUAUACAAUUUGUCCACUACUACGAAGAACAAGUAAAGCACAUGAGAGAAGUAGAAAGCCAAGAUGAUUACAGUUGUCGUGGGAUGCCUAGAUUGACGAUUCCGCACGACAUCUUGAUGCAUGCAGCUUCAGUGUAUACCCGUUCCAUUUUCACAAGGUUCAAUGAUGAAUUUUCCUUAAGCGUCUCUGAAAAUAUUGCUAGUAGUACAUUUGAUGGAUCGAUUUAUUCAUUCACUCUCAAGAGUAGGAGGUCUCAACGCGAACAUAUUGUUAAAUUUGACCAGACUCUUCAAUUUUUUGUGAAUGUAAAUUAUUUGAAUCGAAAGGGUGGUUGUGUCAUCAUGCCUUGAAAGUGUUGAGCGAGAACAUGUCGAUUAAAUGCAUUCCAGCUGCCUAUGUUUUGAAAAGAUGGACUAAGGGUGCAAAAGAGGGGAUUGUGAGUAGUGAAUUUCAGCAAAUGUCAUUGGAUUCAUCUAAGUUUAAUCGGUUUUCCAUGUUAAUGCAACAAUCUUUUGAAGUGAUGAGUUUGGGAGCUGAAGAUGACAAUACUAUGAGAAUAGUGAGCAAACAUAUGCAAAAUGCCAAGACUGAAAUUUCUUCAUACAAAUCAAAUGUGAUUGUGACUGAUGAUGCUACUAAUGAGGAUAAUGAGACUUCUGUGUGCAACAUCUCGGUAUUGGAUCCCCUUCGAAAGAAAGGAAAGGGAAUAACUUAUGGAAGACUUAAAAGUUCUAGUGAGAAAAAGAAGAAGAAAUCUAAGAAAGGAACACCUUCAAUACGAAACGAAAGUCGAGAGUUGGUUGUCCAAGCAACACAAGAUGAAACUCAAUUUCCAGAUUAUUCAAGUUAUUCAAAUCAGUUUCAUAGUGCCUUUCAUCCUAGCAAUAUCGGUGGUCCUUCAAUAAAUUCAAAUUUACAUAAUCAGAUGCAGCAAUCACCAUACAUCAUGCCGCCGGGAAUUAUGAGUGGAUUUAGCCAAUUCUCCAGUCAGAUGCGACCACCAUAUGUCAUGCCAUCAGGCAUUAUGAAUAGUUUUUCCCCAUUUAGUAAUCAGGUACUAAUUGUGAAAUCAUGUUAUAUCCUAAUGUUAUUUCAUCUUAUUAUUACUACUGUAAUAUUCAUUAUUUAUGGUUUAUCUUGGAUAGAUGUGUAAUCAUGGAACUCAUGGAACCAUUUUAAGUCAGGGAUCAUCAAAUUCUUUUAAGCAUCCUGGGGUAAAUGAAUUGAACAAUUCUGAUGGAACACAAACAAAUGCUCCCAAUUAACGGCACAUAACUCUUAUCUAUUGCAUUGCGAUGCUUCUUGUGUCUGUUGAUUCAUUUGUCCUUGUAAGAUCUUUCCUUCCCAAUGGUGGUCCAAUUUUUUCCAUGGCUGUUUACCCAUCUGAGUUCGGGAUCCAGCGCAUGAAAGAGGCAGAAAUUUAUGGCCCUGUUGGGCUCUUUGAUGAUGAGGACGAUAGGAAUGAAGAUCAUUUGGACGAGAAACAGGAGACUCUUGGUGAGAUAUUGAAUGGAGAUCGCCUAGUAACUGCUCCAUAUGAAGUAAAAUUUCUACAAGGGAAGGAUCAGGAGGUUGCGUGUGCAAAGAAGUUGACAAGUGAAGAAGUCUCUCAAAUCCAAGCUGCAAUCAAGCAGUUUUAUAUAUUUCAGAUGUACUGUGAUGACUUGCCAAUCUGGGGAUAUAAAGGAAAGGUGGAAGAAUCAUCUACAAAUAUUUCAAAGCACAAAUAUCGAAGUUUACCAGCAUUUCGAAAUUGAAAUAUUUUUCAAUAAGGAUCAAAUAAUAGAGGCUCAUUUGUUGAUGCACCCUAAUGAGGUAGUGGAGUUGGCUGAAGGCAGGAAUAUGGACAUAGAGCUACAGUACAGCGUGCAUUGGAU